GGCCUCGUAGCUCAGUUGGUAGAGCAUGCGCGUACAAAGCGUAGAUGGCGUCAAUGCAUGGGUUCGAAUCCCACCGAGGCUA
rfam:Echinostoma caproni strain Egypt genome assembly, scaffold: ECPE_scaffold0000117